rnacentral:rRNA from 1 species
UACGUAGGGUGCGAGCGUUGCCCGGAUUUAUUGGGCGUAAAGGGCGCGUAGGCGGCCACGCACGUCCGUUGUGAAAUCGCCCGGCUCAACUGGGCGGGGUCAGCGGAUACGGUGUGGCUCGAGCAAGCUAGGGGGCAAUGGAAUUCCCGGUGUAGUGGUGGAAUGCGUAGAGUAUCGGGAGGAACACCAGUGGCGAAGGCGGUUGCCUGGAGCUUUGCUGACGCUGAGGCGCGAAAGCGUGGG